UGGAAGUUCAGGCAUGCAAGAUAUUCCACAGCUGGGCUUUGCAGGGCAUCGGAAUACAGCUGUGGUGAUGCCUUUACCUGGACUUCCUGGCUAAAAGGAAAGUGGGUAAGGUCAGGUCUGUUAAAUCCUCCCCUUGUGCUGCAUAAUGACCACAAAGGGAAAUAGGUUUGGAGGUUUCCUGUCUGGCAUUCACACAUCCCGGUUCAGGAAGUUGGGAUUAGCUAUUUCACAACCUCAUGCUAUUGUGUCAUCUGAUAAAAAGCAACUGGGUUUUCCCCCCUCUUUUUUUUUUAAUCAACAAAAUGAAGAAGUAGUGAACUAUAAAAUUGCUAAUUAUUUUCUAGUAAAUUUACUUUUGAAUAACUUGAGACACCAAUUACAGGCACCAUUAAGCACUAUUAGCGGUGGGUGUUACCAAGGCAGGGUGGAAUAUUCAUUAGGCAAAAGAGAAAGGUUUUGGUGCCAAAGCCCUUCCUGCUCAGGAAGCAUCUCUGAGGGCACUCACUCUCCUUGCAGCCACUCCACGCCUCCGCCAGACGUUUAAAAAGUCACCAGAGGUUCAAAAAUGACGAUGUGGUGGCAUUGUGUUAGGCAAACAGGCAAAUAUUUUGAGUAAGCUUUUCAGCUUCAGUUAGACAGAUCCUUGCAGCUGUACAAAAUAAUCACCAGAAUUAAGAUGAAAGCAAGGAAAAGGCAGAAAACUCUCCUCUUUGUGUGCCCUUUGAAGAUGCAAGGGCCAUUGUACUUUUAGAUAAUCAGACAGAGGGCUGUGCCCACCUGCUGUUCCCUUGAAAGCUUUCCAGGGCUCUGCCAUCAGUGUGCCAAGCAGAAAGCUGGCUCCCUUCCCCCUCCUGCCUAGGCUGGUGCCCCACAGUUGGAGCCACUGCCCAAAAUAAAGUGUGGGUCUUGCUAUUAAAGGAACGCUUCUCCACCCCCACACACACCCACAAAGAGCACCAGCCUUGGGUGAGACAGCAACAGAGUCCUGAGAAGUGGAAAGUGAAAUCUGUGUACAUUGCGUUGCUGGAUGCUUAUGGUAUAAGCCUCAGAUAACUUGAGGGCUCAGUAUAGAUCAGGGUUGGAGGAAUCUCAGGCCUGGGAGCCAAAUGCAAAAGUGUAGAAUGGAAAUGGUUGGAGUCCCUCAUGGGUUGGCAUUCUUCACAGGAGGAUCAAACAAGGCAGCAUUUGGAGCAGAGGCAGACCUUUAUAAUAUGCUACCCAGUGCGAGGCCAUUUGAUGCCCUCCCCACAGCCCUUGCAGCCCUGGCUUAAGCCAAGCCGGGCUUUGAGAAGGAGGCAUGAGGCUCUGGCAGGGUUCUAGAGCCCUCACACCUCCUUCCCAAAGCCUGAAAGUGUUUGCCUGGCUUUGGAAAGGAGGAAGGAAGACUUUAGGACCCUGUCAGAGCCAUCAUGCCUCCUUCCCAAAGCCAGACAAGCACUUGCUGGGCUUUGGAAAGGCACCCUGCACGCCUGGUGUGGGCUCACACCGCCCUAAAUCUGCCUCUGAUUUAGAGCAGGCUUGGCUGCAACUCCCAUCAGCCUCAGUAAGCAUGAGGGAUGAUGGGAGUUGUAGUCCAAAACAUCUGGAAGUUACUUGAUUGGCUACCCCUGAUUUAGAGUUUGCAAAAAUGGAGCAGGACUGGCCGUGCUUGCUGCCUAACAAGCUUUCAAAUGACGAAUUCCUUUCAGAAAUAGUGUCUCUUCUCCUUAAUAGGAUAGUGAGUCACAAGACUUCUCUAUUCCCUUUCAUCUGGAGACGGAGUUCUAUGAGAAAAGGUUGAAAGAGUUUGGUAUAUUUAGCCCAGAAAAGAGGCGAUUAAGAGGUGCAAUAGCCGCCUUCAGAAAUCUGAAGGGAUGUCAGGAAGUUGAAGGAGCAAAUUUGUUUUCUGCUGCUCCAGGUGGCAGGUCCUGAUCUAGAGGGUCCCAGUUGCUAGGAAGGGGAUUGAGGCAAAACAUGAGGAAGGAAGUCCUAAUGGUACGGGCUGUGGAGCCAUGGAGCAGGGAAGGCCUGGGAAGUUGGCCAAUUCUCCCUCUUCGGAAGUUGUAAGUAGAGGUGUUCUAUCAGGAAUGCGUUGGAAGUGGAUCUCAUGAACUAAGAACACAAGAAAAGCCUGCUGGAUGAGACCAAUGGCCCAUCUAGUCCAGAUUCCUGUUCUCACAGUGGCCAAUGUGUUGCCUGUGGGAAACCAGCAAACAAGACCUGAGCACAAGAGCUUUUCUCCUGCCUGUGGUUUUCAGCAACUGGUAAUUAGAAGCACUGCUGCCUCUGACCAUGGAGGCAGAGCAUAGCAUGGCUCAAUAACCAUGGAUAGCCUUCCCCUCCAUGAAUUUGUCUAAUCCUCUUUUAAAGCUGUUGGUCUUCAGUGCCUCCUGUGGGAAUGAGAUCCAUAGUUUAACUCUGAACUGCAUAAAGAAGUACUUCCUUUUGUCUGUCUUGUAUUUUAUAAUACUCAGCUUCAUCAGAUGUACACAAGUACUGAGCAGGUAAGGUUGGACUGGAGGAACUUUGAAGUUCCUUCCAACUCUAUGAUGAUUGAUUGAUUGGGCAUUUUCACUCUCCCCUGAACUUGAGCCUAAGGGAAAAUGCUGUCUGCUGUUAUAUAGCAUUAAAUAAAAGCAGCUUGUGAGAAAAGCAAAGAAUUCUGGGAGUUGUGUCAAGCAUCUUAGCAGAUUUCCUUACAGAGCAGAUCUGCACAAUUUGUGAUGCACCAAAUGGAAUACAUCCCUGUCUCCAUGGGAUGUGGUCUGCCAGAAUCCUGAGACACCCCUCCCCCGCUCAGUUUUUGCAGUCCCAGACAGGCACACCAGCCCCAAAAACCCAUUGAGUCCAUACAUGAGUGGCCAGAUGGGUGCAGCCCCUGGUGGGGGCAUAUGCAGCAGGUGCAAGCUUGUAAAGCAAGACCAACAAGCUGCUCUCUGUGCUUUAACUACCAUAGCAGAAGCAGCAGGAGCAGAACCGUCUUGCGCCUACAUUCAGGGAACAGAAAGGCUUUCACCUUGGUUUUGCCAGAAGGGAUCCUACAAUACCUUCAUCUUUUUCUAAAGGACCCUCUGAACUAGCUAGGGUUAUCAUCACCCUCAGGAACCCCAGCAACCAGGAAGCUAAAGGGCUAGCUUGUUGCAGGGAGCCGUGAGGCAGGAGGAGAGAUGGAAAUCUCCACCCUCUUUUCCUAGAUAGGCAGGCAGAUAUUAUAAUCAUCAACAUCAUCAGUGCUUUUUUUCUAAAAAAAUGUUUAGGGGUACUCUCAUUUUCCUACUCAUAUUGAAAUACUGCCCCUCAAUGAGGCCAAACUUAGAUUCACAAAAUGUUUAGGGGAAUGCGUACCCCUGUGUACCCCCAGAAAAAAAGCACUGAUGACAACAACAACAACAACAACAACAGAUCCCCUUUUAUAUGUAUCUCAAGGCUAUUAACAAAUGUGCGAUAAGAACAGUAGAGGAAAUAACUAAUGGGGUUUUUAAACAAUAAAAAAUGAACAGGUAAGGCAGGUGCCUUCAUCCACAUGGAAAAGCUUGUCAAAACAUCAGUGUCUCCAAUUGUUUCCAGAAUGUACAGAGAGUGGGCGCCUGUCACAUCUCAUCAGGAGCACUAUUCCACAGAACUGAGGAAGUCGAUGGAAGCCCAGCUCCAAGUCACUGUUAUGAGGCAGGCAUCCUUUCCUGUAGUCUGAAAGGCCAGUUUUUGUUUGUUUAUUUGUGACAUUUGUCAACCACCCAGUAAGACGAAGUUAUAUUAAAAUAUGAUACCUGCAUCUAUACACAUACCACCCUUAUAAAAGGCCCAAGUGAAUAGAAAGGUCUUAAUCACCUGGAGCCAACAAGACUCCAAGGAAGGUGCCAGGUCAGCCUCUGUGGUUUAGCUGUCCCAUAACUGGAGUCCAGUACUGAAAAGGCCAUCUUCCUGGUGGUUAUCUGCCUUACUUCACUGAGUGGUGGCCUCUGGAGCAGGACCUCUGCAGCGAAUCUUAAGAUAUGGCUAGUUUCAUUCAGGAGAAGAUCCCAUAGCCUCAAAGCUGUGCAGAAAGGGUGUUGAAGCAGCACUUUAAACUGGGCCUGGAAAUGGACUGGUGCUCCUAGCCAGUGCAGCUGAUAGGUGUGUCCUGCACCAGAGGGUGGUCUGAUGGGAGCCAACCCUCUGCCAUUUGGGCAGAGGCAUAGCAAGGUCAGGUGGUACCCGGUGCAAAAAAAGUUUUUGUCACCCCCCCACACACACACAUUGCAAUAUUUGGAAACGUUGUCCAGAGUUGUUGAGCCUCCAUUUUUAGGGAGGGUUGGCCACAAAACAGAUUUGCUUGCAGAUCGUGCCCGCUGCCUGCCAAUCAUGGAGAUCCACCGCCAAUUGCAUAAAACUGCCUGCUGGGCAUGCGAGCACUGCUCGCCAGGGGGUGCAAACGCCGGCCGCUGGGGGGGGUGCCAGGCUGAUCACCGGGCAGAUUUGCGCAGGCAGAUUUUCAUGACGACGAUCACUUCAGUGAGGCCAAAGGGGCAACUCGGCACUCAAAGCGAAAGGUGUGGCUACUGAUCAGAACAACGUAAGUUGAGUCCUCUUGUUAGAGAAGGGCCUGCCAUUGAGUUGCCCAGGGAUUAAUAAGAGUUCUUGGCUCAGGGGGGCAUACGGUACCCCUUGUCUGUGCUCCAUCACUCCCAGGGUUAUAUUGAUAUUAGGGGGAGUCUCCUUCCUGCCUCCUCCUGCUUGUGAGAAUUUAGGGACAGCUUUUGCCUCCAGCCUGCUAGCAGAGAAGUCAACAGAGCAUAUCCCUCAAAUGUCCUGCUUUAAGCAGGUCAUCCCAGAAUUACAGAAGCCAUCCCAGUUUCUGACUGGAUGGCCCCCAAAGAUGCCCAUUUCUGGUCUGUGCUCAUGGACCAGUCACCUGGCCCCUGCUAGAGUGUUGCCCUCAUGCAAGUUGCAUAACUCAUGUGGGAGUGCAGUCCCAAAAGACGUGGGUUUUUCUGGGGGAGGAGUGCAUGCUCUCAUGCAAGUCACUUGGCUCCAGCAAGAGCACAGCCCCAAAGUCGUUCGUUGUGAUUUUCCUCUGUUGCAUGUUGGGGGGUAUGAGAGAGAGGCUUUACCUAGAACUGGUGCUGGCUGACCCCCUGAACCCAUCCUGGUUGCUUUGGGCUUGCCUCUCCUUGGCUUGCUCAAGAUGUGGCCUCUGUGCCUGAGGGCAGCCCCUCCAAAUGUCCAUUUAUUGGCAGCCUAUUUUUCCUGGCUUUCUAGUAGUUGAGCUGUCAGAGGCAGCUGGGUUCUUGCCCUUCAUCCUUGCCAUCACCCCGUGGAUAUUUUAUUGCAAUGAAAACAUUUUUAAAAACCCAUCCAGGAGAGUGAUUGGAGGAGACAACACAGGCAGCAAAGGGGUCCCAGGCCUUACUGGGUGAGGAAACUCUUUUUCAACUCUGCCCCUGGAUCAUUUUCUGCAGUGUGCCUCUUAGCCUCCUGGUCCUCAAGAGGUGGCUGCUUGCUCUUCAGUCAAAACACUCUUCCUCCCAGCCAGCCCUCUCCACCCAUGAGGUUUCUGCAGUUUUAUCCCAUCGGGGGGGGGGGUGAUGGGUGGAGGAACUCAACCAGCUGCUGCAACUGACUUGAAAGUUUUUGAGAUGAGCAACGGACAAAUUUGAUCUUUUGUAAAAUAUUUAGUCCAUCCGCGCUGUCUCCUUUCCCCCAAGGAAACACUUCUCGGCACCAGCUAAUUUUGAGCUCCGUCUUGCCGUGUGGGUUUUCUAAUGUUAUGGAACAGUGAACCUCCUGAAUUAAUUAAUGUGCAGCUCUUCAGUUAUGCAGCUAAUCUGCAUAUUUUACUAACUGGAUGCAAGAUGUUUCUGUGGAAGGGUUGCAAAGGCACCCAGCACAGCUCCAGCUCAGGGCCCACAGACAGCCUCAUACCUGGCUGUGGGGGGAGCGGAGGAGAUGGAUGUCCUGGAGCCUGGUGGGACCAACCACAAGAGAAGGAGGGGCAUGAAUUUCAUGGCAUACCUGAAAAGGAUCCUUUUGAUGCAGAGUGGCAAUUUGUAUUGGGACCACCAUCCAGGGAGAGGGGAGGUUUACCCACUCCCUCCCCAGCCAUAAUGCCAAUGCACACACCUCAAAUAUCCCUUAGGGAAGAAGCUCCCCUUGGGUUGUAUUUCAUUUGGUUUCUUCCCAGCAGCAGAAGGAUUGUACAGGGAAGCUCUGGGACAACUUCCUUUUUUUCUCAUUAUAUUCAUAGACAGUCACCAUCCACUUUCUUUUGAGGUCCCAUUCCUCAUUUCCCCCUCACUACAACAACACUGUGAAGUAGGCUAGCCUGAGAGACAGUGAGUGACUCAAUGUCAUCCAGUGAACUUCAUGGCUAGGAGAGGAUUUGAACCUGGUCUUUGAGGUCCAAGUCUAACACUCUAGUCCAACCACAAUACUUGACUGGCUCUCUUGAAAUAUCUCGUGGACUCUCUCUCUUCACAAAUGAGGGGUGACUCUGCUGGUCAGAGGGGAAAGGGGAGUGGGGGGAAUCAUACCUGCCUGGUGGUUCAUUUCUAUAUGUGGCCCCUAGGUCUUGUGAGAUUUGCUGGAGCUGCACAGAAGCAGCAUCAGGACAGAACUAGGAAGAGGUUGAACAAGCAGCUGCUGGCCCAGAAUCUCAGGUGGCGGGGAACACACAGGAGAGACCAAGGAAGCUCUGGGACUGGAACUUUGAAUGGUAUGUGUGGUUCUGGGUUCCUGCUGGCAUUAUCUGUGCAGAGGCAGAAGGAGACAUGAGAGGGGUGCAACAGGAGUGCCCAGUUCUGAUCCAGUGAAACAGCUGAAGGUCAAGGAAGUGCAACAGCAGUAGCAGCAAAGCAGAACCUUGGAGAGCUCCAAGAGAGCAACUUCCUCUGACAAGGGUUGGAAGCGAACUGAGCCCUUCUAAGCCUCAGCCUCAAGUUCUGACCACUUUUGGCAAACUAAAAUCUGGCUUAAGGACAGUCACUUCUGUGCUCAAGGACCUCUUGUCUGGUGUGUUCCCUGCACCAUUAGACUGGCACAGGAGUGUUGAUGUACUUGGCACCUUGAGGCCCAGGGAAAGGUUCCCCUAGGUGUCUGUACCCCAGUUCUAUGGGCCUGGGUGCUGUGGGGUCUGAUGUAAGUGGGGUCCUAUCUACUAGCCUCAGGCUGUGAGCAUCAGGAUCAGGGCCAGGAACCAGCUCAUUAGCCAGGAACACUGUAGCCUCUGACUCUGGCUCCUGGUCACUGGGUUGUUAUGACAAGGAGUGAGGGAGGAGCCCCUCAACAACCAGAGCUCCUGAAGUCCCAGGGGCAUCAAUAAAGUAACAGGAGCUUUCCAGGCCCCAUCUCAGGUGCACAAAUGAGUUUGGUUUCUGGUUUCUAGGAUGGAAUGGUGUAUUAGGGAACUGUCCCCAGGGACAGGGUGGGGCACCCAAAAGGGCAUUUGCUAGUGCACUCAGGUGGAAAUCAACAUACAGGCACAUGCUACACAGCCAAGUCUGGCCAGAAAUACAAAGCAGGCAGCCAGAAAUAUGAGGAGCCUGAACAAACAGAACAAAAAGCAGGUAAAGGUCACCAAUCAAUUAUCCAAUUUUUCAAAACAAACAAGGGAGGGAGGGAGGAGAAAGGCCCUGUUCUAAAUGUGUACCUGGCCCAGAGAACUAAUACACUCAGCAGGCAUCACUGUGAAACUGUCACUGGAAGAGUUUGCUCACUAUUCUGGGACAUUUCAGAUGGUCUUAAUAAAGAUGUUGUCUGAUGAUGGAUUUGUUACACACACACACACACACACACACACACACACACACACCCCUUCUGAGGGAGCAACUUGGCUGCCUUUGCUUUUUGAGGAACCCCUUUGGAAACCAACUUCAGCCUCCCCCAACCUGGUGUGCCCAUCAGCCCCAGCAUCAUGAAGUGCUAUUUGUUGUGGCUGAUGGGAGUUGUAUCAGGUUGGGGAUCAGCUUGGUGAAGACUGCAGCAUUGCUUAAUUCUUGGCAUUGCAUCUUUCCCCUUGUCUUCUCGUAAACUCCAUUUGAUGCCUGUGUUGUCUUUAUCUUGAUGCACAUGUUAAUUCCUGCUGGACUGAGGUGUCUUGUUUCAAUCUCUCAUGCAGAGAGAUUCCUAUCUGGACAUUUUGCAUACUGCAAUUUGUAAGUUCAAAGCAUUUAAAUCUGGUCAAUUAGAGAUGGCUAUGCAAGGACAAGGACAAGGGAAGGGAAGAUUAAACUUAGCCCAAUAUGAAUUAGACAAUGGAGGAGGAUAAGGGUAUCUUUGGCCUGAUCCAGUUGUGACCAGGUUUUUCCAAUGUUCUUUUGAGCAGCACAGGGGCUCCCUCAGCUGAGUUCAGCACCAUCAAUUAUGGCUCAGUUCAAGAUAUUGGUUCUGCUUGCCUUUAAAGACUGGCCUGGCUUAGGAAUCAGGUAUGUGAUGGACUGCCUUGCCCUGUGUGAGGAGAACUACACCUGAGGAUCUAUUUAGGGUGUCCCUAAAAAGCAGGUAGAGGGACAUGAGUGGCGCUGUGGGUUAAACCACAGAGCCUAGGACUUGCCAAUCAGAAGGUUGGCAGUUCGAAUCCCUGCGACGGGGUGAGCUCCCAUUGCUCGGUCCCUGCUUCUGCCAACCUAACAAUUCGAAAGCACUUCAAAGUGCAAGUAGAUAAAUAGGUACCACUCUGGUGGGAAGGUAAACAGCGUUUCCGUGCGCUGCUCUGGUUUGCCAGAAGAGGCUUAGUCAUGCUGGCCACAUGACCCGGAAGCUGUACGCCGGCUCCCUCGGCCAAUAAAGCGAGAUGAGCACCACAACCCCAGAGUCGGCCACGACUGGACCUAAUGGUCAGGGGUCCCUUUACCUUUAAAAAGCAGGUGGAGACAGGGAUCAGGUGGCAGACAAGGAGAGACACUUUGCAGUGAUGGUUUCCCAACUGUGGUGAUGCCCUUCUUGCUCCUGGUGCCCACUUUGCCACCAUGGCAUUGCCAGGCAAAGACUUUUCUUUCCCCGCUCCCCCAGGCCUGUGAGCAAUGCUAAUUUAUUAACUCUCCUGCACUGUUCUAAAUGCCUACUUCCUGGAGUUCUAUUUUUCUGCUGUUUUAGAUGGGGGGUGGUGGACAAUGGUCUUUUCACUCUCUUGAGGACCACCCUGAGAAGGAUCAGGUGUCAUUUUCAAAAAUAAACAAAUGUUUUAAAAUGUGCAUGCAAUUCACAAUGAUAUAAUAAUAAUAAUAAUAAUAAUAAUAAUAAUAAUAAUAAUUUAAAACAACAUGAUUCCAAUGAAAGGAACAUUAAAAACGAGGGAUCAGGAAAACAAUGGUCACGAGAGCAUGUCAUUCAAUAGUGUUAAGCCCAUUGGAACAGGGUGAGCAUAAUCUUUUUUCUAAAGACAGGCAAGGAAGGGUCUCAUGGUGGAAUCAGUUCCAGGAUUUGGGUGCCACAACUGAGAAGGCCUGAGGGGGGACAAAGGUCUUGCAAUCCCCCAGUGAUUUACCUGUUAGUGUGAGGAGCCUUCCUGGGGUGGGCUGAUCACCAGACAAGGCAUGCCUUGUAUCUAGAGUCGAUUAUGUCCACAGUGCCAACCUGUGGGGCUCUCCUAGAGCCAGCCUUGAACACACAUCCUGCCCAGGAACCCCAACAGUCUCCCCUCAUUGACCAGAGUUCAAAUCCUCUCCUAGCCAUGAAGCUCACUGGAUGACAGUGAGCCACUCACUGUCUCUCAGGCUAGCCUACUUCGCAGUGUUGAUGCUGUGCAAGGGAAAUGAGGAGUGGUACCUUCACAGUGCAGUCUUUCAGUUGACCUCGCAUAGACUGGCUACUUAUGUGUUCCAGUCAUGACAAAGAGGCAAAGUCUCUGAAUACCGUAAAUGGCUGUGCCCUAGAACUCACCAGAGGGGCAGUGACAUUGGACUUAAUCUUAAGUGGUGCCCAGGACUUGGGGCAAGAUGUAAGUGUUGUUGAGGCAAUAUUUACUGCUAUCAAACCCAAAAUACAGUCAUACUUCGUUACGUCCGCUUCAUGUUACGUUCUUUCAGGUUAUGUCCCAGCGACCUGGAAGUACCAGAAAGGGGU